rnacentral:misc_RNA from 1 species
UUCACAAUGUAAGUCAUUCUAGCAUUUCCCAUAUUCAUAUUGAUAUUAAUAAAUCUAGAUAGAUAUAUAUGUCUAGAUUUAUUAACAACAAUAUGAAUAUAGAUAUAUAUGUCUAGAUUUAUUAACAACAAUAUGAAUAUGGAAAAUGCUAGAAUGACUUACAUUGUGAA